CCUUCCCAUCACUAAUCUAGCUACUGUUUCCAAAGUUUUACCUUUUCCCAAAUAUGUAGUGGGAAUCCUGCAAUAUGGAGCAUUUUCAGAUUGGCUUUUUACACUUAGUAAUAUGCACUUAAGGUUCUACCAUGUCUUUUCAUGGCUUGCUAGCUCUUUUGUUUCUAGCGCUGAAUUAUGUUAUUGUCUGGAUGGAUCACCGUUUCUCUGUUCACCUACUGAUGGACAUCUUGUUGCUUCCACAUUUUGGCAAUUGUGUAUAAAGCUGCUAUAAAUCACGUGCAAGUUUUGGUGUGGACCUGAGUUUUCAUCUCCUUUGGAACAGGAUCGAUUAGAGCCUUGGAAAGGUCAUCCACCAAGCCUGCCACCUCCAAUGUGGCUUUGUGUCCGGAGACCUCAAACACCUGUCAUGCAUGUGAAGAUCUUCUUGCACAUCUGCCCAUGAGAGACUCUGUCUGCAAUGAGCUCUCCUGGGGCCAUUAGUGACAGUAAGAGUGAACCGGAUUCACCUCCAGAUCUGAGAGGCCAUCAUCCUUCAUCAUCUGGAAAGAGACUCUCCAGGCCCAGGGUAACACCGACUUCACACGGGGUCACAACACAGGAGACUUAGCAGAAUAGCAGUGUGAACUUGUACCUGGGGAUUUGACACCAUGGCUCAGCUCUGGGGCUUCAGAAGAAACAGAGAUUGUGAGAAGCUGGACGCUGUGUUUGUUCUCAAGGGGAGACUUGACAUCAGCUCGCGUCUUGGUUGUUCAUGGAAUG